rnacentral:tRNA from 1 species
CGGGCUAUAGCGCAGUUGGUAGCGCGCGUCGUUCGGGACGACGAGGUCGGCAGUUCAAGUCUGCCUAGCCCGA